rnacentral:rRNA from 1 species
GACGAACGCUGGCGGCGCGCCUAACACAUGCAAGUCGAACGAGCGAGAGAGAGCUUGCUUUCUCGAGCGAGUGGCGAACGGGUGAGUAACGCGUGAGGAACCUGCCUCAAAGAGGGGGACAACAGUUGGAAACGACUGCUAAUACCGCAUAAGCCCACGGGUCGGCAUCGACCAGAGGGAAAAGGAGCAAUCCGCUUUGAGAUGGCCUCGCGUCCGAUUAGCUGGUUGGUGAGGUAACGGCCCACCAAGGCAACGAUCGGUAGCCGGACUGAGAGGUUGAACGGCCACAUUGGGACUGAGACACGGCCCAGACUCCUACGGGAGGCAGCAGUGGGAAUAUUGCACAAUGGGGGAAACCCUGAUGCAGCGACGCCGCGUGGAGGAAGAAGGUCUUUCCGGGAUUGUAAACUAUGUCGUUAGGGAAGAUACAAGACA